rnacentral:rRNA from 1 species
UACGUAGGGUGCGAGCGUUAAUCGGAAUUACUGGGCGUAAAGGGCGCGCAGGCGGCUUAUUUUGUCAGGCGUGAAAGCCCCGGGCUUAACCUGGGAACUGCGUUUGAUACGGAUGGGCUAGAGUUCGGGAGAGGAGAGUGGAAUUCCCAGUGUAGAGGUGAAAUUCGUAGAUAUUGGGAAGAACACCGGUGGCGAAGGCGGCUCUCUGGACCGAUACUGACGCUGAGGCGCGAAAGCGUGGGGAGCAAACAGG